rnacentral:tRNA from 1 species
GGAGGGGUGGCUGAGCGGCUUAAAGCACUGGUCUUGAAAACCAGCGAGCCUUCACGGGCUCCGCGGGUUCGAAUCCCGCCCCCUCCGCCA